ensembl:lncRNA
UGACAGUGGGAAAAAAUGUCCCUAGAUGGCAGAAAUGCCACCUGAAAAAUAUACUGGUAGUUAUUCUAUUUGUUGUGUUUUCUGUAGGGAGAUGGCCAUAGUGUUUAUGUUUUGUGAUAAAUCUAAGAGAUUGUGGAACUAGUUGUAGAGGUUUGUGAUAAAAUCAAUACUGCAUAUGUUGCUAUUUCUGCAAGAGUUUUAGCGUUAUAUCUUCUAAUACUUUUGGGAACUGAAACUGUAGCCUUAAUGGAGUAUGACUUUGUUAUAUCCAAACACAAAGGCUGUGUGCAUAAACUGCACGUAAAACAAAUGCUCAGUUCUACAUCUCUCUCAAAUCCUGCACAGUAAUCUACAGAUCAUACAACCUUAUUUCAUUUUUAAAGGAUUUGGUUUUCCUUUCUCCAUAUACAUUCUUUCCUAUUCCUGCUGUGGAACAACAUGACAAGCACUGUACUUUCUGCUGCAAGACAAUUAUUGUUAGCCCCCCCAAAAUCCACCAGACUGCCACCUUACCUGCAUGUAUCAAGGUAUAAUGAUUGUAUGUACUUCUGGAAAAAUGGUCUAGAUCAGUCCACUGAUUUAUUGCACAGACACAUCUAGCUAUAUGCAUAUGUAGAAAAAUUCCCUACUGGGGAGGAUGUUUGCAUGCACACAGAGUUCAGAGGCUUACUCCAUAUUAUGGCUGUCAGAUUCAGUGAAAGGUAUAGGCAAUAUUAGCGGAUCAUUCCAUGUAAUGAUUUGUAAUGCUUUUGACAGAGCAAGGUUCUACUGAAAGAGUGAAAUGAGUUAUCUACCAUCUCUCACCCCCAUCAAUUGAUCUUUUGUUGCUUUUGUGUUGUAUUUUGUGCUAAUAGAAUAUCAGCUGAUCUUAGCACAUUUGCAGGUGAACUUGGCCAGGUUGUUCAGUAGGUCAUGAUACAGUUAGGAUGUGUGAUCCUAAGGUCAGCGUCAGAAAAAUGCCACAGUCUUUUGUAAAGUCUGGCUAUGAUACUGACUUAGCAGAAGCUGGGGAAUGCAGCUUGGCUACAGCUCCCCUUCUAAAGCACACUCCUGUACACCUUAGGAAGGAACCAAUUUUCAAGUCCUUGACUUGACAUGGUAGCAAAACCUACUGUUUUGAAUGACACUGGGCUUGGCAAAUAAAUGCUAAAGAGAAUUACAAGUAGAUAAAUGUUUUUUUACUGUCACAUUUAUAAUCUCAGUGAGGUGCUAAUGAACAUUGUCUGUGUGAACAUAGCAACUAAUGGGGAAAUCACUUUCCUGUCACUUUGAUCAACUAUUGAAGAACCUGAAAUAUAUUUGUUUCUUUGGUGAAGCCUACUUAAAACAAACAAACAAACAAACAAAACAAAACAAAACAAAAAACAUUUGUGAUUUUAAUUCAGAAUUUUAAACAUUUAGCAACUGUAUUGCCUUAUCUUGUUUUUUUAAUCUAAGCAAUAUUCAUGUAGUGAUCUGGCAAAAUUGAGAAUAGUUAUCUAUCUCACUGCUAAUAACUCUGAAAAAUGCUGUAAGUCAAACAAAUCUUUAUGAGUAGUAGUGGUUAUAUUUUCUUGGCAAGAUAAGAAUUACAUGCCACAUUCCACUGAAAAUGUUUGCCACAGGCUGCUCUGAAAUUGUUGGAAUAGGCUUCAUCAAAAAGAGAAGGCAUAUAUAAUUCCCACAGGGUGUCAUCUCUGUAGGUUAGCUGGAUGACUCUGGAAAAAAUGAAUCCCAUAGCCAAACCUUGUUCCACCAAGAUCCAGCUUGCUUUCUGUCAGGUCUGAGAUCCUACCCAGGUGUUUUAUCAGAACAUGUGGUAGACUGACAAGGGACUCCUUUGUAGAUAGGACUAAUGAGUUUAAUUGUGGCUGAAAAUAUAAAAAAUAGAUAAUUUCAGCUACAUAAAAGAAACAGCACAAAAUAUUGGUGUGAUAUUCUGUUAGAGAACUUUCUAGCUUAGGAGAGAACUGGCUUGCUGCAUAUGAAUCCAAAGAAUAUUUUUCAAAUAGUGUUAAGGACAAUCUGAGAGAGAGGUAUGUAAGAUAGUGGCACAGCCAUGGACCCUAACUUCCAAACCCACAUAGUGACAGCAGUCACCCUGGAGCAUGGCCAGUCGAAGGGACAGGAAGAAAAAAUGUUUCUGUUGAUUUUCUUUAGAAGUGUCUAAGCAAAAAUAAACCCACAGUAACCUGCUUGUCAGGCAUCACUUUGGCAGCUGAAGCAUGGAUUCUGUUACCGUGAGGAGUCUAUAGUUUCAACUGGGUCAUGACAGUAUUGCCUUCUGCCUGAAAACUCCAAAUACACCUAUCUUGUUCAGCCUUAGAUGGUUAUUGCUCAACAAGGUCCAUAAUUCUCAGGGACACCAGGUCAAGAGAGCAAUAUUCUUAACAUUCCAAAGUUAAGAGAAGACUGGAUCCAAGUUUUGCAGGAGCUAUCGCAGAAAAUAAUGUCACACUGACCACUUUGUCACACUGACCACUAUGCUGUAAGAUUUUACAUUCAGCAUUUACUGUUGCUAACUAGCUAACAACCAAAUUUUACUCUCCUGUUACUUUUAUUGCAGUACAACACAGAAUCUGUCAGCUCUGGAGUUCUCCUCACCCACUGAGUGAGGAGAGAUAGGAUCUCUUUAUUACUUCAAUGGCUGCAGAAAACAAAGUGUUUUCAUCAACUGGCACUUAAUUUAGUGGAUACACAUUGAUCUCCAGUGGAGAAUUUUGAAAUUAUAAUCGAUAUGAAGAUACCACAGAGGAAUAUUAAUAAACCUCUUAGGAAUUAGAAAUAUAUUUAAUGAAUCAGGAGGUUUAGUAAAUAUUAACACGUGUGCAGUGGGAGCUGCCUGGAUAACUGUGGUUGCAGUUCUACGUAGUUCCUAAGUAGCCUGUAGGAUAAAAGGGAAAAUGGCUUUAGUCAUUAUUAUUGGAGGGUCUGCACAUGGGACUACAUCAAAUGAAGUUGCAACAGCAUAAAAAAAUGAGAGAGAAUGAAGAACUUUUUGUUUCUCUUUAAAAAGCAAACUGAUGAUUUUAUUUGAUAUUCAGGCAAAGCAUGUGUAUGUUUGUAUAUGUGUGGUGGAAAAAGAAAGACACGGGAUGAAGGAGGGUAGAAGAAAGUCCCAACAAGAAGUAAGGAACACUUGUUCCAGAGGAAAAAAUAUUUCCCAACUGAAGGACUUGCAGCAAAUGCUUGGGUAACUUGCUGAUAUAUAAACUGCUGCUUCACUCAGCCUUGUGUACCUGGACCCUCAUCAGCUCAAGCAACUCAGGCUUCCAAGGUGGGCAGUUUAAUAAUCUGAGCCACAGAAGGGCUGGAGCAGUUAGCCCAAGCCUAUGCUGUGUAAUCCCAGUUUUGACACUAGGCCAGGCUUGCUGUGUGGCCUUCGUCACAUUCCCCAACUUUUUAGCCUCAUUAGCUUCAUCAGUAAAAAUGAGUGAUACUUAUCCAAGGUCUUUGCAGGAAUGUUAUAAUUAACUAAUGUUUAAGGAGACCUAGUGCAAUCUCUGUACUGAAUCUGACUGGACAACACCCUUGCUCAUCAAGCAGCUGGGGACUUAGUAGUAUGCCCUCACCCAGACCAGCAACAUCAUUGUGUGAGCAGUCUCCAUAGAGCCAUAUGUGUGCCCCUGUUGAGAUGCUGUGUCUGAAAAAGAAUGGAGUAAUGGGCUGACAGCUCCCAUCUGUAUGAUUUAGGCAAAGCAGGUGUGUUAGCAGUUUCACAGCUGUUUCAGUAACUGUGCUACCUUGCUGGGGGGAAAGCAAAAAGCAGAGGGAGCUGGCUGUCAUCAGAGGUUUGGCUAGGUGACCUCUGAGGCCUUUCCAGCCUGAGGGCAUUUGUGAUUGUAUGAUUUGAUACAUGUGAAUAUAAGCUGCAUUUUAGAGGUAUAAUUAGGAAACAAAGAAUAGGGGCAUAAUUCUAUGACCAAUUCUUCUAUCUAAACAAGCAGUAUCCAGCAUUUUUUGCUGGAUUCUUUUAGUAUUUGAGGAGGACUGCAUACAGCAGAGCUUUUCUUCUCCCAUCACAGAAAUUCUACAAGGUUUGGAGCUUCUUGGAAGUGUACUGCUCAUGUGCUCCACCAUAUACAUGCAAGGGUAAAUCUCAGUAUGCAAACAGAAUGGUGUCAGCAGUAUCUGACUGCAAGAAGAGCUUGUCCCUGUAAACUUGUACGCAGCCCUUGGGUUGCAGAUGGAGCAGACAAAUGGCUAUCCGGCAUUUAUACAGACUAGAAGGAGCAGUCCUUGAGAGUAGCCCUGCAGAGAAGGACCUGGGGGUCCUGAUGGAUGAAAAACCAAACAUGAGCCAGCAGUGUGCUCUUGCAGCUUGGAAAGCAAAUGGUAUCCCGGGCUUCAUCUGAAGAGGGGUGGCCAGCAGGGACAGGGAGGUGAUUGUUCCUCUCUGCUCUUGAGAGGUCCCAUCUGGAGUACUGUGUCCAGGUAUGGAGCCCCCAGUACAAGAAAGACAGAGAGCUGUUGUAGAGGAUCCAGAGGAGGGCCACAAAGAUGAUCAGGGAGCUGGAGCACCUCCCCUACAAAGACAGGCUGAGGGAGCCGGGAUUGUUCAGCCUGGAGAAAAGAAAGCUGUGGGGUGACCUAAUUGCAGCCUUCCAGUACCUAAAGGGAGCAUACACAAACAGGAGGGGAGUCAACUCUUUACAAGGGUAGAUAACAGCAGGACAAGGGGAAAUGGUUUUAAAUUGAGGGAGGCAAGAUUUAGGUUGGAUAUCAGGGGGGAAGUUCUUUACUGAGAGAGUGGUGAGGUGCUGGAACAGGCUGCCCAGAGAGGUUAUGGAUGCCCCGUCCCUGGAGGUGUUCAAGACCAGGUUGGAGGGGGCCCUGGGCAGUCUGGUCUAGUAUUAGAUAUGGAGGUUGGUGGCCCUGCCUGUGGCAGGGGGGUUGGAGCUUGAUGAUCCUUGAGGUACCUUCCAACCCAGGCCAUUCUAUGAUUCUGUGGAAUGGUUUGAACAGAAAAUAGCCUGUGUUAGUAUUAUUUUUAAAGAAAGAUGAGGUAAUGUAAUACAAUUAUAAGAGCCUGAAAUAUGGCUGAUUUAUUGAAACACAGCAUUCAGCUUCAGCAACACAGCUGAAAAAACCUGGGAACUAAGAAAGACAACAGGGACAUUCUGGUUAAAAAAAAAAUACUCAGUGUGAAUUGCAGGUUUUGGAAAGACUGGCACAAAUUCUGUUUUCAUUCAAAC